GCAGUCGAGCGGAAUGAUGAAGAAGCUUGCUUCUUCUGAUUUUAGCGGCGGACGGGUGAGUAACACGUGGGCAACCUACCUUGUAGAUUGGGAUAACUCCGGGAAACCGGGGCUAAUACCGAAUAAUCCAUUUUGCUUCAUGGCAAGAUGUUGAAAGGCGGCUUCGGCUGUCACUACGAGAUGGGCCCGCGGCGUAUUAGCUAGUUGGUAGGGUAAUGGCCUACCAAGGCGACGAUACGUAGCCGACCUGAGAGGGUGAUCGGCCACACUGGGACUGAGACACGGCCCAGACUCCUACGGGAGGCAGCAGUAGGGAAUCUUCCACAAUGGACGAAAGUCUGAUGGAGCAACGCCGCGUGAGUGAAGAAGGUUUUCGGAUCGUAAAACUCUGUUGUAAGGGAAGAACACGUACGAGAGUAACUGCUCGUACCUUGACGGUACCUUAUUAGAAAGCCACGGCUAACUACGUGCCAGCAGCCGCGGUAAUACGUAGGUGGCAAGCGUUGUCCGGAAUUAUUGGGCGUAAAGCGCGCGCAGGCGGUUUUUUAAGUCUGAUGUGAAAGCCCACGGCUCAACCGUGGAGGGUCAUUGGAAACUGGAGAACUUGAGUACAGAAGAGGAAAGCGGAAUUCCACGUGUAGCGGUGAAAUGCGUAGAGAUGUGGAGGAACACCAGUGGCGAAGGCGGCUUUCUGGUCUGUAACUGACGCUGAGGCGCGAAAGCGUGGGGAGCAAACA
rnacentral:rRNA from 1 species